rnacentral:misc_RNA from 1 species
AACGCAAAUUGCACUCCCUGGUAUUCCGGGGAGUAUGCCUGUUUGAGGGUCAGCAAAAGCAAAAUCGUGAUGUCUCUCCGGUGACAUCUCGGAAUUGGGCCCACUUAACCUUUUUGGUUUAAGUGGCCUGAAAUUGACGUUUCUCUUGCGCAUCUUGGACGUGUAUAAUUCGUUUAUCCGUUUUCGAUGCCAAUCUUUUAUUAGGUACGGACACGUUUCGUGAUCUCGUACCCAUAAUUUCUCGUAUUUUGACCUCAAAUCAGGUAGGAGUACCCGCUGAACUUAA